AGUGAACGCUGGCGGUAGGCCUAACACAUGCAAGUCGAACGGCAGCACAGUAAGAGCUUGCUCUUACGGGUGGCGAGUGGCGGACGGGUGAGGAAUACAUCGGAAUCUACUUUUUCGUGGGGGAUAACGUAGGGAAACUUACGCUAAUACCGCAUACGACCUACGGGUGAAAGCAGGGGAUCUUCGGACCUUGCGCGAUUGAAUGAGCCGAUGUCGGAUUAGCUAGUUGGCGGGGUAAAGGCCCACCAAGGCGACGAUCCGUAGCUGGACUGAGAGGAUGAUCAGCCACACUGGAACUGAGACACGGUCCAGACUCCUACGGGAGGGAGCAGAGGGGAAUAUUGGACAAUGGGCGCAAGCCUGAUCCAGCCAUACCGAGUGGGUGAAGAAGGCCUUCGGGUUGUAAAGCCCUUUUGUUGGGAAAGAAAAGCAGCAGGUUAAUACCCCGCUGUUCUGACGGUACCCAAAGAAUAAGCACCGGCUAACUUCGUG
rnacentral:rRNA from 1 species